GAUGAAGAACGUAGCGAAAUGCGAUAAGUAAUGUGAAUUGCAGAAUUCAGUGAAUCAUCGAAUCUUUGAACGCACAUUGCGCCCCUUGGUAUUCCGAGGGGCAUGCCUGUUCGAGCGUCAUUAUAACCCCUCAAGCUUAGCUUGGUGUUGGGGCCUGCUGUAAUAGAGCAGCCCUUAAAAUCAGUGGCGGUGCCAUUAGGCUCUAAGCGUAGUAAUUCUUCUCGCUAUAGGGUUCUGGUGGAUGCUUGCCAUUAACCUCUAAUUUUCUAUGGUUGACCUCGGAUCAGGUAGGGAUACCCGCUGAACUUAAGCAUAUCAAUAAGCGGAGGA
rnacentral:misc_RNA from 1 species